AAAGUUGUCCUGAGCACUCCUGGACUGGAUGUGAUGUGAGAGGGGAACUGCUGGCAGAUGUCUUUGGAGCAGUGGCAACCAUCUGCGCUCUGCUUGUUUUCCCCCAAAAGCACUGCAGAUGGGAGAGAUGUCCAAGACCACAUCCGAUGCACUGAUAGGACGACAGAAGGACACUGAAGCUGAGCACGACCCGGAGGAGCUCGAUGUGCAAAACAGAAGUACUGAAGUGACCUUUGAAACAAAGGACUACAAAGUGACAGCAGGCUGCAUUGCUGCCAGCAGUGAGUCGAGUGGAACAUCCAGUGAUGGCCAGGAUGAGGAUGACCAGGAUGAAACAUGCUUUGCUGUUUCUCUGUCUCCCAAAGGAAUCAGGACCAGCAGGAAAAGGCCAAAGAUAAAGAGCAAGCAGUCACCGGUGCAGAAGAAAAUGAGAAUAGUAGAAGUGGAAGAAGAGCCAUUGCUACCAGUAAAGGCGGAGGCUGCAGAAAGAGCAGCUCAGGAACAGGAGAACAGAGCAGAAGUAGCACAGGAAGCGACGGGGCAGUGUGUAUUGUCUGACAUUAUCAUGCUCGUGAUACUCAUCCUCGUUGUAUUCAUGGUCUUCACGCACCUCACUCUGGCAGUGGUGGUCACGGUCUGCUGCUGAGCUUCAGGCUGGGAAGAGAGAGAGAGAGGCAGCAGCCACGUGUCAGCAGUGAGUGCAGAACUGGAGAAUGCGUUUCUUUUCUCUCCCUGAGAUGUGCAAUGAGCUCUUCUGGUGGCCAAUUAAAGGGCUGGGAGGAGA
rnacentral:lncRNA from 7 species